AGAGGCCUCUUGAAGCAUAUCCUAGGGUCUAGAGCAGAAUAUACCCUACUGAUCUGAAGGAUAUCAGAGGAAUGAGAAUUAUCACUGUGAAAAGAUCUUGGAGGUGCUUAUUUCUUAUGUACCACAUUUAAUAAGUACAGUAUUGGUUCCCCACUACAUUUGAAACCAGGCUCCAUAUCGUAAUGAUUGGUUCUUGAAAAUUGGUUCUUGAAGAAAUCAAUAAAGAAACAAAAUGAAGGAGGGACUCCUGUCCCAGGCAGAGGGAACAGUUUUUGCAAAACCCCAGAGGCAUGAAGACUUGGAGAAUUCAAGGAAUUGCAGAUGGUUUAUAGCAGGAAUACUAACAUAAUGAGAAUUUUGGAAAGUCUGAUGGAAAUGAGAGCAUUAAAAAGGUUUGGGUGCACUGGGUGAAUGCAUCUUAAGGAACUUGAACUGCAUCUGGAAGAAGAUAGGGUGCCCACUGAAAUAGGAAGGUAACAUAAACACAUUUAAAUUUAGAAAUUCAACUCUGUGCUGAACAUGGUGGCUCUUGCCUACAAUCCCAGCACUUUGCCAGGCCGAG
rnacentral:lncRNA from 10 species